rnacentral:rRNA from 1 species
UACGGAGGGUGCAAGCGUUAUCCGGAUUCACUGGGUUUAAAGGGUGUGUAGGCGGAUUGUUAAGUCAGUGGUGAAAUCUCCGGGCUCAACCCGGAAACUGCCGUUGAUACUAUCAGUCUUGAAUUCUGUUGAGGUGGGCGGAAUACAUCAUGUAGCGGUGAAAUGCUUAGAUAUGAUGUAGAACACCGAUUGCGAAGGCAGCUCACUAAGCAGCGAUUGACGCUGAGGCACGAAAGCGUGGGGAUCAAAC